AUUGAACGCUGGCGGCAGGCCUAACACAUGCAAGUCGAACGAGUGGCGGACGGGUGAGUAAUGUCUGGGAAACUGCCUGAUGGAGGGGGAUAACUACUGGAAACGGUAGCCAAUACCGCAUACCAUCGGAUGUGCCCAGAUGGGAUUAGCUAGUAGGGGGGGUAAAGGCUCACCUAGGCGACGAUCCCUAGCUGGUCUGAGAGGAUGACCAGCCACACUGGAACUGAGACACGGUCCAGACGCCUGCGGGAGGCAGCAGGGGGGAAGAUUGCACAAUUGGCGCAAGCCUGAUACAGCCAUGCCGCGUGUAUGAAGAAGGCCUUCGGGUUGUAAAGUACUUUCAGCGGGGAGGCGUUACCCGCAGAAGAAGCCCCGGCUAACUCCGUGCCAGCAGCCGCGGUAAUAC
rnacentral:rRNA from 1 species